rnacentral:rRNA from 1 species
UACGAAGGGGGCUAGCGUUGUUCGGAUUUACUGGGCGUAAAGCGCACGCAGGCGGACUAUUAAGUCAGGGGUGAAAUCCCGGGGCUCAACCCCGGAACUGCCUUUGAUACUGGUAGUCUUGAGUUCGAGAGAGGUGAGUGGAAUUCCGAGUGUAGAGGUGAAAUUCGUAGAUAUUCGGAGGAACACCAGUGGCGAAGGCGGCUCACUGGCUCGAUACUGACGCUGAGGUGCGAAAGCGUGGGGAGCAAACAGG